UUAUGAUGAACUCUUAGAUGACGAGUCUGACGAGUCAUUCAAUGUUGAUAAAACUCUUUUAAUACCAUUCAUGCUUUACUGAAA
rfam:Rhizopus oryzae RA 99-880 supercont3.12 genomic scaffold, whole genome shotgun sequence.